AUUCCAGCUCCAAUAGCGUAUAUUUAAGUUGUUGCAGUUAAAAAGCUCGUAGUUGGAUCUUGGGUCGUAAGGGUCGGUCCGCCUACUCGGUGUGCACCUGCCCUUCCGUCCCUUUUGUCGGCGGCGUGCUCCUGGCCUUAAUUGGCUGGGUCGCGGUUCCGGCGCUGUUACUUUGAAAAAAUUAGAGUGCUCAAAGCAAGCUUAUGCUCUGAAUACAUUAGCAUGGAAUAACGUGAUAGGAGUCUGGUCCUAUUGUGUUGGCCUUCGGGACCGGAGUAAUGAUUAAUAGGGACUGUCGGGGGCAUUCGUAUUUCAUUGUCAGAGGUGAAAUUCUAGGAUUUAUGAAAGACGGACCACUGCGAAAGCAUUUGCCAAGGAUGUUUUCAUCG
rnacentral:rRNA from 1 species